GCUGCACUAUUGGUACCAUUUUUGUGCUGUUCACUACCAUGAGAAGCCUGGCUCCCACAAGAGGUUAACAUUAUGCAAGAUUUCAACCAGCAAGAGGAACGUGCCUAGUAGUGACCUGUUACCUGCUGAUGACCUUUAAAUCUACCAGAGGACCCCAGGGGAUGGUCGGUACAUGACUGAAAGCUAAAGCUCAGAUUCUAUUGACAUAUCUGCAUGGAAUUGCUGGAUUCCACAGGGAUCAAGACAACCCUUGUGAGACAGCAAACCAGCUGCAGGACUCCUCUAGGCUUUCCCCUCAUAAUCCAGUAGGAUGAAAGAAUGCACAGACACAGCAAGCAGGCAUGGAUCUGGACUACAGAGCAGUUACAGAGGGCAGUUAGAAGACAAAAGGAUGGAGAGGAACCUCAGAGACAUCUCAACAGGAGAUGGGAUAAUCAAGUGUGCUGCUGAGCAGGGAACUGAGGUUAUCCUGAGAAAGGUGGAGAGGAACCUCAGAGACAUCUCAAUAGGAGAUGGGAUAAUCAAGUGUGCUCCUGAGCAGGGAACUGAGGUUAUCCUGAGAAAAUAUUGCAAGCAAUCUUGCCCUGAACUACAGAAUGGCUACUUAAAAGUAAAUAUUAUCAGAUCAGCUGCUAAGUACCAGUAA
rnacentral:lncRNA from 1 species